rnacentral:misc_RNA from 1 species
GUGCCGUCACCGAACGGUCGGCAGGCGAUCCGCGUCGGUCGUGCGAGGUGGUAUGGUUCCCCAGAGGCCGGUUCUUGUGCUGCCUACCCCUUCAAGGGAAGCGGGCCACUUGAUGUAAGCCUCCAUCCGGCGCCUUCCAAUGGGCGCAGGAGGACAACAGAGCACCCCCCGCGUUCCACCGAGCCUUCUCGGUCGCGUGGCCCGCGGGGACGUGCGAUGCUCUCGGACCCAGCGAAAGCCGUGGGGGAGGACUCACGUCCCAGUCCCGAAAAUAAGCUCCGAUAAAAUGCUGACGGCCGCUCCCCCCCCCCACCCCCCCGGCGGCGCGGGGGCGAGGCGCGGCGUCGCGGAGGAAUGCUACCU